UACCAGUCGCAUUGCGGUACCAAACAAAGGGUGCACCGAUCGUUAAAUCUUGUCCUUGAUAACCAAUCGUUGUUGUGAAUCAAACGUAGAGCUUAAACAAGAUUUAAUUCUUCAUUAAUAAUUCACCACCAUAAUGCACCGUGUUUCGAUUUAUUUCGAUCGACAUGCUCAACGAUAAUACCGAUGAGAUCACACUUACAAAAUGUCACACUAUUUUAAUAAUUGAUAAAUCAAUAAAAUAUAAACAAAAGGUUAUAAAACGAUGGAAAAUAGUUCACACGUGGCACAGCUUCCUGAGGUCGCGUGUCAGGAUUUGGGUGUUAAGUUGGUGCAACCGCGAGGAACUUCUUCGCGGAUGCACUAUAUUCCCGUUGUCGCGAAGGAAUAUAGAAGGUACAGCACAAUAUGCGUGUUGCCGGUUAUGUUACUUCUUCUCCUGAUGGUGCUGAUGCUGCUGCUGCUGUUGCUGUCCAGUACUAGCUAGCUCCCGCACGCGUGUGCAUCAGUCGCGUGGCGGCGGACGUAUGUCGUGUGCGGGAGGACCCAGGGACGGCACACGAGCCGCGUGCCCUGUUUCAAGCCCAGUAGUGGGGGAACUCCUCUUGUAUAUAUUUUUGGAGUGGGGGGACCUAUGGGUUUCUUCUCUUCCUCCAAGGUGAAAGCUUUAGCUGGGACCCCAUGGAUCAAAGGCGAGACUUAACAGGGAAGAGGAAAGAGAGAAAACAAGAAGUAGGGACUUUACAUGAACAUUCGGUAGGAGGGAGAGGGGGAAAGGGGGAGGGGGAGAACUAGCUGAGAGAUCAGGAAGGGGCGAUUUUCGUGGGAACGCCUGUGGCGCUUCCUCUACUCGCGGUGUGCACACUUUUUUCUAUCAAAAA
rnacentral:lncRNA from 1 species